ensembl:lncRNA LINC02552 long intergenic non-protein coding RNA 2552
AGAAUGCCAUCUCUAGGAUGCCAAUGGGCUGUGUCUACAGUACUAUGUAGGAAAGUGCUGCAAGAGUGACUCUGGAAGGUUGUGCUGAGAACUCUGAAGGCUUGCUGUGACUUUUUGGAGAGCCCAUUUUGCCUAAACAAGAACCACGAUUAUGUAAAGUUCUUUCUGUCACCUCUCUGAAGACCUGGUUCAUAUCUGCAGCUGCAACUCUAUCCCUGAACUCAUCUUUGAAACUACCCAGAGAUAGACUGUCAAGAGCUUCAGAGCUUUACAACAGGAUCUUCCAAGUGCCCUGAGAGGUCCGCGUCACCUUUAGGAGCUGUAACACUCACCGCGAAGGUCUGCAGCUUCACUCCUGAAGCCAGCGAGACCACGAACGCACCGGGAGGGAUGAACAACUCCGGACGGGAGGAACGAACAACUCCAGACGCGCCAUCUUAAGAGCUGUAACGCUCACUGCGAAGGUCUGCAGCUUCACUCCUGAAGCCAGCAAGACCACGAACCCACCAGAAGGAAGAAACUCUGAACACAUCUGAACAUCAGAAGGAACAAACUCCAGACACGCCACCUUUAAGAACUGUAACACUCACCGCGAGGGUCCGCAGCUUCGUUCUUGAAAUCAGUGAGAUGAAGAACCCACCAAUUCCAGACACAGUAACACCAGUUAUCACUGAUUGCAGUUCAUCAUAACAGAUAUAAUAAUAAUUUAAAAGUUUGAAAUAUUAUGAAAAUUACCAAAAUGUAACACAGACACAUGAAGCAUUGGAAAAAUGGCACCAAUAGUGUUGUUUGAUGUAGCAUUACCAUAAAUCUUAGAUUUGUAAAUAACAAAGUAUUUGUGAAGCACAGUAAAGCAAAGCACAAUAAAAAUGACGUGUGCUUGUAUUUUAAAAGAACAGAUUGAAUUGGGAAGGGUAGUUGAGGAACUGGAAGCAGAGAGAACAGGUACAAGAUUCACGUAGUAGUCCAAGAAAAUUAAAGCAAGUAGAAAAACUAACAGAAGUUCAGGAUAAAAGAUUUUGAGGCCUUAACUACACAUUUCCAGAAGGAAUGGAAAAAGGUCAGAAAUGAGAAUGUGGAAAUAUCCUCAGCUGAUUUGACUGUAAGUAGAAAGUGUUGGCAUAAAAAAAAUGGACGAAGCCAAAAAACUCAUGGAAUGAUGAAUAAUUAAAUAAAUUGAGGUCUCCUUAUCAAAAACAAAAAUGAAGACAUGUAGAUAGAAAUUUAUAUGUCUUUACUCUGUAAAGCUGGGAGAAUACCCAGAAGGUAUUUAGGAAGUAUGUGAUAAAAAUUUAAGAUUGGAGUUAAUGAACCAGAGAUAGGCAUGAGACACAUAAUAGGUAAUAAUACAGGUUAGCUGGUAAGAUCUUUGGAGCACAGCAAGCUUGGAUUUGAGUUAGUAAUAAUAAUUAUGCACUGCACAUUUUAGCCUUUAUAAUUUUUCACUGGUUCUUCCACUUAAUAGGCAUCUUUUAACAUCUAUUAAGUGUAGGAAAAUACUAAGAGCUGGAGAUACAGCAGUAAUAAAUAAAGUUUAUUUAAGUAAGUGUAAAGUUAAUAAAACACAGUCCCUAAUCUCAUUACUCUUACACUGAGAGAUUUUCACAUUCAAAAUUUACUGAGCACCUAUUGGGUACAGAGGACUUGGAUGGGCAAAUGAAUACAAUAUGUCUCUUGCUGUGUUGUUGGAACAAGUGGAAUGCUGGGGACAUCCAAAGAAAGGAGACCACAUGGAGGAGGUGAUAUUGGAUCUUGAGGGAUGAUUAAGAGUCAUCAAACAAACGACAUUUAUAUAUAUAUUAUAAUAUCAUCUCCUGUAAUCUCGCUCACACCCUGUGAGGACCAAGUAAAUAUAUUAAAGAUGUAUUUCUUAUAGAAUAUUCUGAGCAAGAUGAGAGAAAGGAUAGUAUGAUAGCCCUGUCAGUCCUUGUAUUCCUCUCCCUAAUUUCACUGUUUUGUUGAAAGUGUUUGUUUGGUUUUUUUAAUAGUUUUUAUUUUGUAUUUAGCUCUAGACAAAAGAACAGUACUAUUCCUUGAAAACAUUUAUUCUUUAGGGAUAUGAAGUGGUAUGUUUGCCCAACAAAAUACACAAUUUCUAAAAUAUUAUGACUAAUUCAAGCAAAUGUAUUCUCUAAAGAAAAAUUUCCACUUCACUUUGUCUACAUAGAGGUAGAUUUAAUAAACAAGUUAUAACAAAAGUCUUCUGUCAGUAUUUUUCCUCAGCACUAUUAUAAAGGGUGGUAAAAAUUCCUUUCUUUGACAAAAGAGACUUUUUCCUCUUUUCCCCCAAGACACUAAUGAAUAUAAAUGUGCAAGUAAAAUAUUUUCACUUAGAUUCACAGUGUCUGACACUAAUAUACUCUAGAGCAUUUAAAUUUUUCCUCAACUUAAAACUAACUGCCAAUUUUUAAAAUGUUAAUUAUUAUUCCCCAAAUUAAGUAAGAAUAAUAAUAUAUUUUGCAUAGCAAGCAUUGUGCCUUCUAAGAAAAGAGGCAUUUUAUUUUCUGUUUAACUAUCUUCUUUCUGUCGAUCAGUGUCAGUAGCUUGUCAAAAACAAGUCAAGGACAACCUGCUUUGAUAUCUAUGCAAAUAGGAUUCAAUUAUCCCCAAUGAGUUUGCAAAACUUGCAGAAGUCAUUAAUUUGAAAAACAUGAGGAUUAAUGCAGGGGAUUUGGAACCUAUGUCAAAGACGUUUUAAAAUUACUACCAUAUAAACUUUGAUUCUUAAACGCAGAAAAUGCCUAAUGCAGCUAAUUUUAACUACUAUGAACUAUAACUUACAUAAUAAAAACACAACUGGCUAACAUUAUUAUCCUCUUUCUUGCAUAAUUUGUCUAAAAAUUAACAUCUCAUGCUUCUCUUAACUGAAGAACUUCUUCUAACAUUUCCUUUAUGCAAGUCUGCCAAUAAUUAAUUCUUUCAAGUUUUUUUAUUUUGCCUGAAAAAAGUAUUUAUUUCUUCUUCAUUUUAAUAUAAUUAAUAGACUAUUUUAGCACAGUUUUAGAUUUUCUAAAAACUUGCAAAGAAACUGCAAAAAGUUUCUGUGAACCUCACCCCCAAUUUCUCCUAUGAUUAGUAUCUUACAUUACUAUAGUAUAAUUGUUACAAUUAAUGGAUUAAUAUUGAUAUAUAGUUACUAGCAAA